GGGAGAGGGCGCAGUAGGGAGGAAAUGCCCGGAAGAGUGCUGGGCCAGCUGGGAGGGGCUACCGGGGCAGGAGACUGGGGAGGGGCGGGGGCGGGGCGGGGCAGGGCCGGGGCAGGGGCGGGGCGGGGCGGGGACCGGCCCAAAGAGGGGCACACUCCUGGGUUGCUGGGGCACUCCUAUCCUGUUAGAGCACUGGGCGCCAGGCUGGCAUCCCUGCCCCCCUUGGGCAGAGUUCUGGGGCAGACAGACAACAACAAACUGAAAAAUGGGCCGGGAAAUGCCACUUAGUGGUGCCUGGCCACGGAUGGAAGGAGCCAGGACUGAGCUACCCGGACAGACAUCCAAAGGGGCAAAGAGGGGCAAAGCCCUGGGUGGUGACGUUGCAAAGGCAAGGACACCCCGCCCCAGGGCUCCGCAGACCGCCCCUGCGUCCUGAAGCAUGUAGUUCAUGCAGGACUCCCCCCUCCCCACAACCUGAAGCCUUGCCUGCCCCCUCCUGUCCUCAGCACCCCUCAACCUAUGAGAAGCAGAGGUUUCUACUGAAGCCCACCCCCCGUAAUCCAAACCAGCUGACUCCCAAGGACACAGAAUUUCAGGAGGUAGGUUUUCUAUUUGUGAGAAAGCGGAAAGCAGGAAAACAUCUUGAAAAGAAAAAUUCACAUCCAACCAUUUCUGCAGAUUUCAUGGCGGAGGAUAUGGCCGUGGGUCUGGGCGGGCCGGCCUCCCGCGUGCUCCCACCAGCUGUGCGUGGGCGGCUCUGUCUGCAGGGUCUUCGGAGACGCGGACGCCGGCCCCCGUCCUUAUCACCACAGGUCUCCCAGCCAGCGCUGGCCAGGGCCUUCAACCCAAGGGGACUCUGCUGCCCUGCCUGUUCGCGUGUUCUCCUUGCAGGAGGAGCACCUCCUCAUCUUCCUUGCGGAGCCCAAGGGUUUGCCUCCUUCCAUCCGGGCGACCCAACAGCACCCCUCAACCUAUGAGAAGCAGAGGUUUCUACUGAAGCCCACCCCCCGUAAUCCAAACCAGCUGACUCCCAAGGACACAGAAUUUCAGGAGGUAGGUUUUCUAUUUGUGAGAAAGUGGGGAAAGCAGGGAAAACAUCUUGAAAAGAAAAAUUCACAUCCAACCAUUUCUGCAGAUUUCAACUGCUUUCUGAUCCAGCAUAUUAAAUAAAAUGGCAAACACACUUCUGUCACACCGUCCUACGACCUUCUUAGAGUACCUUCCAAAAUAAUUAGCAGCUUCUAGUUGAAGUUUCCCCUGGAGAAGGGAAUGGCAACCCACUCCAGUAUUCUUGCCUGGAGAAUCCCAUGAACAGAGCAGCCUGAGGGCUACAGUCCAUGCGGCUGCAAAGAGUCAGAGAGUCAGACACAACUGAACAACAAAUACUUCACUACUUAGACAAAACUUAAAUCUAAACCUUUGGUACUUUUAAAAUUCUGGACAGGCAGCUUCAGCAACAGAUACUUAUUUGUCUUGGUUCUAGAGGCUAGAACUCGGAGAUCAGGGAGCUGGCGUGGUGGGUUCACGUGAGUGAGUGUCUGGCCUGUAGACACCAUCUUCUGGCUGACUUGGGGAGCAGAGGGGACACUAAUCCUGUCGUGGUUCAGUCCGUUCAGUCGCUCAGUCAUGUCUGACUCUUUGCGACCCCAUGGACUGCAGCAUUCUAGGCUUCCCUGUCCAUCACCAGCUCCCGGAGCUUUCUCAAACUCAUGUCUGUUGAGUCAAUGAUGCGAUCCAACCAUCUCAUCCUCUGUUGUCCCCUUCUCCUCCUGCCUUCAAUCUUUCCCAGCACCAGGGUCUUUUCAAAUGAGUCAGUUCUUCUCAUCAGGUGGCCAAAGUAUUGGAGUUUCAGCUUUAGCAUCAGUCCUUCCAAUGAAUAUUCAGGACUGAUUUCCUUUAGGAUGGACUGGUUGGAUCUCCUUGCAGUCCAAGGGACUCUCAAGAGUCUUCUCCAACACCACAGUUCAAAAGCAUCAAUUCUUUGGCACUCAGCUUUCUUUAUAGUCCAACUCUCACAUCCAUACAUGACUAUACUGGAAAAAUCAUAGCUUUGGCUAGAUGGAACUUUGUCAGCAAAGUAAUAUCUCUGCUUUUCAAUAUGCUGUCUAGGUUGGUCAUAGUUUUUCUUCCAAGGAGUAAGUUCUUUUAAUUUCAUGGCUGCAGUCACCAUCUGCAGUGAUUUUGGAGCCCCAAAAAAUAAAGUCUGCCACUGUUUGCGUUGUUUCUCCAUCUAUUUGCCAAGAAGCAAUGGGACCGGAUGCCAUGAUCUUAGUUUUCUGAAUGUUGAGUUUUAAGCCAACUUUUUCACUCUCCACUUCCACUUUCAUCAAGAGGCUCUUUAGUUCUUCUUCACUUUCUGCCAUAAGAGUGGUGUCAUCUGCACAUCUGAGGUUAUUGAUAUUUCUCUUGACAGUUUAGAUUCCAGUUUGUGCUUCAUCCAGCCUGGCAUUUCACAUGAUGUACCCUGCAUUUAAGUUAAAUAAGCUAGGUGACAAUAUACAACCUUGACGUACUUCUUUCCCUAUUUGGAACCAGUCUGUUGUUCCAUGUCCAGUUCUAACUGUUGCUUCUUGACCUGCAUACAGAUUUCUUAGGAGGCAAGUCUGGUAUUCCCUUCUCUUCAAGAAUUUUCCACAGUUUGUUGUGAUCCACACAGUCAAAGGCUUUGGCAUAGUCAGUAAAGCAGAUACUUGCUUUUUUGAUGAUCCAGCAGAUGUUGGCAAUUUGAUCUCUGCUUCCUCUGCCUUUUCUAAAACCAGCUUGAACAUCUGGAAGUUCACUGUUCAUGUACUGUUGAAACCUGGCUUGGAGAAUUUUGAGCAUUACUUUGUUAGAGUGUGAGAUGAGUGCAAUUGUGCAGUGCUUUGAGCAUUCUCUGGCAUUGCCUUUCUUUGAUAUUGGAAUGAAAACUGACCUCUUCCAGUCCUGUGGCCACUGCUGAGUUUUCCAAAUUUGCUGGCAUAUUGAGUGCAGCACUUUCACAGCAUCAUCUUUCAGGAUUUGAAAUAGCUCAACUGGAAUUCCAUCACCUCCACUAGCUUUGUUCGUAGUGAUGGUUUCUAAGGCCCACUUGACUUCACAUUCCAGGAUGUCUGGCUCUAGGCGAGUGAUCACACCAUGGUGGUUAUCUGAGACGUGAAGAUCUUUUUUGUACAGUUCUUCUGUGUAUUCUUGCCACCUCUGCUUAACAUCUUCUGCUUCUGUUAGGUCCAUACCAUUUCUGUCCUUUAUUAAGCCCAUCUUUGUAUGAAAUGGUCUCUUGGUAUCUCUAACUUUCUUGAAGAGAUCUCUAGUCUUUCCCAUUCUACUGAUUUCCUCUGUUUCUGUGCAAUGAUCACUGAGGAAGGCUUUCUUAUCUCUCCUUGCUAUUCUUUGGAAUUCUGCAUUCAAAUGGGUAUAUCUUUCCUUUUCUCCUUUGCCUUUCGUGUCUUUUGUUUUCUCAGCUAUUUGUAAGGCCUCCUGGGACAACCUGUCGUGGGGCCCCACCCUAAUGACCUCCAACCCUGACUAUCCCCAAGGGCCCAGCCCCAGAUACCAUUCCAUGGAGGCUAGAGUUUAAUCAGUGGGGAGUCAGUGUUGUUUAAGCCAGCUUGUGGCGCUUUGUGCGGGAACCUAGGCAAGCGACAGAAUACAGAGACCUGCCAGGUGUCCCAACAAUUCUUUUUCUAAUUUUAUUUAUGUUAUUUAUUUUUGACCGCACUGGAUCUUCAUUGCUCUGCACAGGCUUUCUCCAGUUGCAGUGCACAGGCUCCUCAUUGCGGUGGCUUCUCUCGCUGCGGAGCACGGGCUCCAGGUGCGUGGGCCGCAGUAGUCGCAGCACACCGGCUUAGUCGCCCCAGAGCAUGUGGUUCCCAGACCAGGGAUGGAGCCCAUGUUCCCUGCGUUGGCAGGCAGGUUCCCAUCCUCUGCUCCGCCAGGACGUCCUCUCCCAAUGCCUUGUCUUGAGUCCCACUGCAGGCCUUUCUGUUGCUGCUCACGCUUGGGGGCAUGUGGGGGUCUGCUCUGCGUCUCUGUGCUAUCACUCAGACCCAUGCCAGCAAGCUUGAGUGUUGGCCCCAGACUUUGGCUGUUAUGGAAAAUACUUCUGGAAACAUCCUCAUCUGCGUGUUUGGAUACACACAUACACAUGCCCACCUGUCUGUUGAAGUAGAACAUGCCAUAUUCACUUCUAGAAGAAAAUCCCAAACAGCUUUCCAAAACUUCACACAAAAAUAAAGGUUCAUACUCCUACCAGCAGUGCAGGAGCCUUACCAAGCCUGGACAGCGUCAGCCUUUCUGGCAAGGGUGCAGAGUGUCCACGUGGCUCUGGCUCUUGCCCUGCAUGGCAAGGAGGCCUGCACCUCAUAGGACUUCUGUGCCAUCUGCAGCACUUCCUGUGAGGCAUGGUUAGAUGUCUUGGUCACUUUCUAUUAAGACUCCUUUUCUUAUUGAUUUGCAGGAGUUCUUUAUAUAUUCUGGAGAUGGCUCUUCUGUUGGUUACAGUCAGUUCUCAAUAUUCUCAAAGUCAUGCUCUAUGUGGUCUCCAGGAACUCUGACUCAACUUUCCUGGAUCAUAGUGUUUUCCCCAACUCGAGCGCACUGUUGCUGGCUUGGCCACACUGACCCCGCAGGCAGCACUAUCGUGUGGCCUGGACGGAGCCCGCCUGGCACAGGGGCUCCACAAUGGGGCCCGUCUGGCCUCCUGCAUGCAGGUCACUGGGUGCAACAAGCUCUCGGCCGGGGCCACGAAACCGCAAAGUCACCCCAGAAGCACGAGAGCGGAGACACGCA
ensembl:lncRNA